ACAAGCAGAGUUCUGUGCAGGGAGAUGUCUCAGAAAAAGUGUUUCUUUAGCCCUCUCCCUGACUUGCAUCCUCAUGAGACUCUUAAACCCCCUCCUGACCUUCAGAGAUGUUUAUCAUCAGAGAUGGGUUAUGGAAGUGAUCCUAUAGAACCUGAGAGAUUGCUUAACUCAAACUCUGCUUCUACAUUAGAGGCACUAGGAUACAGCAGUGAACAACAACAACAACAGCAAAACAAAAUCCAAGCCCUCAAGAAACUUACUCCUUGGACUACGUGUCUUUCCCCAGGACUAUAUGCCGUUCCCUUUCCAGGACUAUGUGUCUUUCCGCAGGACUAUAUGCCAUUCCCCAAGUGCCAUUCGGAAAUUAUUCAUAAAAUUUAUGUAGAAACGAAAGGUUCAAAAAUAGCAAAGACACUUGAAGAACCAGGUAGGAAGGACUUGUUCUACCAGCUAUUGAUUUAUUAUAUUAUUACUCCAAUUAAGACACCGAGAUUGUCAUCAAUAUUGAAAAAUAGAUCAGAAGCAACAAAUUAAAAAUCCAGAAACCAGUCAUUUUUCCAUACUAAUUUGGUCUCAAUGAGAACAACAUAAUUCUCAUUCAUCUCCCUGUAGAAGUUAUAUAUUUCCAAAGUGGUUCAAAUGUACUGAAAGCCAACUCACCACUAGGAAUUGAAUCAAAAUUGACCCACAGACGUACAACAUUAAGUUUGCUGCGAAGAUUUAAAUCAGUGGGACAUAAAAUAAAAAUUGUAUGCUACCCAAACCAAA
ensembl:lncRNA novel transcript